AAUAAGUUAAUAUUACGUUUUGUAGGAUAAUUGUAAAUGUGCACGAAUGUAUAUUUUGUGGAAGGCAAACAGAACAUGGAUCCAGUUACGUCUUCUAGACUGAUAAUGGUGCCGAGAGAAGUAAUACUUCAUGCCGAAAGCAUUAAAUAAUCAAACAUAACACAGCCAGUAUCUUCAAUAUUCACAACAGAACAAUAAUGGAACAAUUUGGUAGACAGAUUGGGAUCUUCAGGGCUGUGACACUGGUAAUCUUGUGGAACCUGGGUGGCUGCACAUUAUCACAGAGGUAUCUUUUACUUACUUGGACAUGUGACUAAAUCAGCUUCAUCUUUGCUGGAGCUAAACAAAGGUUCAUCUCGAUGAGAUUUUG